AGCCAUGCGAGUCAUUGUAGCAUACAAGGCGGACGGCUCAGUAACACGUAGUCAACCUAACUCGUGGACGUGGAUAACCUCGGGAAACUGAGAAUAAACCACGAUAGAUCAUAGUGCCUGGAAUGGCUUAUGGUCCAAACAGUUUACUGCCAUGGGAUGGGACUGCGGCCUAUCAGCUUGUUGGUGAGGUAAUGGCCCACCAAGGCGAUUACAGGUACGGGCUCUGAGAGGAGAAGCCCGGAGAUGGGUACUGAGACACGGACCCAGGCCCUAUGGGGCGCAGCAGGCGAGAAACCUUAGCAAUGUGCGAAAGCACGACUGGGUCAGUCCGAGUGAUUCCUGAUAAAGGAGUCUUUUGCUUGUCCCAAAAGCACAGGUGAAUAAGGGGUGGGCAAGUCUGGUGUCAGCCGCCGCGGUAAUACCAGCACCUCGAGUGGUCAGGACGUUUAUUGGGCCUAAAGCAUCCGUAGCCGGCUCUGCAAGUCUUCGGUUAAAUCCACCUGCUCAACAGAUGGGCUGCUGGAGAUACUUCAGAGCUAGGGAGUGGAGAGGCAGACGGUAUUCAGUGGGUAGGGGUAAAAUCCUCUGAUCCAUUGAGGACCACCAGUGGCGAAGGCGGUCUGCCGGAACACGUUCGACGGUGAGGGAUGAAAGCUGGGGGAGCAAACCGGAUUAGAUACCCGGGUAGUCCCAGCUGUAAACGAUGCAAACUCGGUGAUGCAUUGGCUUAUGGCCAAUGCAGUGCCGCAGGGAAGCCGUUAAGUUUGCCGCCUGGGAAGUACGGACGCAAGUCUGAAACUCAAAGGAA
rnacentral:rRNA from 1 species